UGGGGAAUCUUGGGCAAUGCCCGAAAGGGUGACCCAGCGACGCCGCGUGGGGGACGAAGCCCUUCGGGGUGUAAACCCCUUUUCUGGGGGAAGAAUAAGGCGGGGAGGAAAUGCCCCGCCGAUGACGGUACCCCAGGAAUAAGCCCCGGCUAACUACGUGCCAGCAGCCGCGGUAAGACGUAGGGGGCGAGCGUUACCCGGAUUCACUGGGCGUAAAGGGCGUCUAGGCGGUUCGGCAAGUCGCCUGUGAAAGCCCCUGGCUCAACUGGGGGAGGUCGGGCGAUACUGCCGGGCUAGAGGGCGGCAGAGGAAGGUGGAACGGCCAGAGUAGCGGUGAAAUGCGUAGAUACUGGCCGGUACCCCGAUGGCGAAGGCAACCUUCUGGGCCGUCCCUGACGCUGAAGCGCGAAAGCGUGGGGAGCGAACC
rnacentral:rRNA from 1 species